GCCUGCAUGGCCGAGUGGUUUAAGGCGACAGAUUUAAGUCUUCUUUUAGAAGGUACUCUGUUGGAGCAAUCCGCGUGCGUUCGAACCGCACUGCAGGCA